rnacentral:rRNA from 1 species
CCUACGGGAGACAGCAGUGGGGGAUAUUGCACAAUGGGGGAAACCCUGAUGCAGCGACGCCGCGUGUGGGAAGACGGUCCUCUGGAUUGUAAACCACUGUCCCCAGGGACGAAAAUGACGGUACCUGGGGAGGAAGCUCCGGCUAACUACGUGCCAGCAGCCGCGGUAAUACGUAGGGAGCGAGCGUUGUCCGGAAUUACUGGGUGUAAAGGGAGCGUAGGCGGGGAUGCAAGUUGGGUGUCAAAACUACCGGCUCAACUGGUAGUCGCACUCAAAACUGCAGCUCUUGAGUGAAGUAGAGGCAGGCGGAAUUCCUAGUGUAGCGGUGAAAUGCGUAGAUAUUAGGAGGAACACCAGUGGCGAAGGCGGCCUGCUGGACUGCAACUGACGUUGAGGCCCGAAAGCGUGGGGAGCAAACAGGAUUAGAUACCCCUGUAGUC